UUGGUCAUACAUGAUCAGAGAGUGACAAAGCCACAGAAUCACAGAACAAUUAAGGCUAGAAUGGAGCACAUGGGAUCAUCUAGUCCCACUCCUCUGCUUGAGCAGAGUCACUAAGAGCAGGUUGCUCAGGACACUGCCCAGUUCUCCAAAGGAGAAGAAAACUCCACAGUUGCUGUGCUUGAUGACCUUUACUCCAUCUGUCAGAGAACACAAGGACAAAGUGGGAGAAUAAGAAAGUGGAAUGUAAUGGAAGAUCCUUGUAUUCUCAAGGUGAAACAAUCUGAUGAAUACCUCAGAAUACUGCCUGACAGACCUGCAUGAGGUGAUCCAAAGUGUUCCACCAAGCCUGAGCAAACAGCAGCCUUAUGUCCCAGGAUGAAGGCAAACCAGACUGUGAUCCCAGGGGAGUAAGGGGGACAGUGAGCAGCUUCUGAAGAAAUCUGUCUUCUCUGACAUUCUGUGUCAGAUAUGGAAUGAGAGUCAGAGAAAUUGCAGGCAAAGUAAGGACUGGCAUCUUUUGUUCCUGGGCCUCAGUGAAGAAGCAUCCAUUAAAGCCAAGGACUGGACCCCAUAGAGCCAGAGGAGGAAAGGGAGAUGAACGAGCCAUGAAGUCAUCACUGCCACCUCUGAAACACUCCUCAGCUGUGAGGGGUCUCCAGAAGCUGCCCAAGCCAUCAGGAACCAUGGCCAACAAGCUGAAGGCUUAAAAGACUCACCAUAUCCUUUGAAUAUCAAACAAUGGAAAACCACAAAGCAAAUACUUGUGGCCAUCCCAUAUUCAUUGAAUGGCUGUUAAGAACGAACACAUCUACGAGCUUCAACAUCUGUUUUUGAGUGUAGUGCAAAGAAAUUCAGAACCUGAACCAAGUGAGCAUCUGUUUUCUACAUUUUCUGAGUGCUUCUAGAUCUGAGGCCAUGCACCCAGUGCUUGCAAAGGAAGAGUUCUCCUCCAUGUACCAGUGGUCUGGGAGGAGGGCCCUACGGGAUGCCUGUCUCACACCCCUGGAGAAAAGACUGGCCUCCACUAACACACACAGCAGCAACUGAGGACAGCCAGGCAGACUCAGGUAAGCUCAAAGGCUUUUGUCCGUUCAGAAUGAAAAGUACACUGUACUUGACAAUAAACCUGCCAUUUGAAACCUCGGGGGUUUUAAUCUUAUAAAUAAUAGAGUUCAGAGAAGAAGGGGUUUGCAAGUCUGCAUUGCGCUGCCCAGAAUUCAGAUUUAUGUAAUGCACUUGUAGGCACCUGGUGCUGAAAUGCAUGCAAGUGUUUGGGCAUUUGAGAUUCAAAGCCAAUAUUGCCCAAAAAUAUGCAAUGCAACACUAAUAUUUCUCUCUGUUAUGCUGUUUUCCCCAGCUGCUGUGAGAACAUCCAUCACUCAGUGGCAGGUCAGAGCUAUCCAGUCCACUGCAUGCACUAGUACAGCUGUUUGUUUUUUUGUUGAAGAUGCUGUUAGCUAGCAUGAUGUCCACAUCAGAGGAAACCAGGUAAAAUGAGCCAAAGAAGGUGCACAUUACUAAGCACACUGAAACAGUUUUUAUUCAGUAGGGCUGAUAGCAAUUUCUUCUUUGUAAGAAGAAUACCAGCCUACAUAUCUUGAACAAACUAGAAAAGUAGGGUUACUAACUCUCCUGUAUUGAACAAGCAUUUGAAAAGAUUGGUUUAUAAAAUAUAUAGAAAGAGCUAUGGUUUAGAAAUGUAAUAACAAAGGGUAUGGAACUUCAUUUAUUCUUCUUUGAUCAUCAAGAGAAAAGUUGCAGCAGUUCAACUGCAAAAUGAAUUAGUCCCUCAAAUGCUUUCAGGCAUCAAAAUAAUUCCUACUGUUUUAGGAUGUGAAAAAUUGUUUUGAAAAAUUCAGCAGUAUAAAAAAAGGAUCUGUUAAGCACAUUAAAGGCUGUCUUUUUCUGCAAGUGCAUUCAGAAAAGAGGGAGCAUUUCUUUAGCUCCCUAUUGCACUUUAAAAAUGCAGAAUACUGAAAUGGCAAGCAUGAAGCUGUCAGGCCAUGCAGCUUCCCUGUGGGGAGGUUAUCACAUGCAGCUUUGCUGGCUUAUUCAUUGCUUGCAGCUCUUCCAAUCAGAUAACCUUAACAAACAUGGUGCUAUCAAUUGCCAGAUGUGGUACAUGCUAUGCAGCAUCUAGUUUUUGACAGACUAAAAUGGAACAGACAAUUCUUCUCUUUAUGUAAUCAACCAUCAGUCACACUAUGAGAUUCACAAGGAGUAUCUGGAAGUGCUGUCAAGUGCCAAUUAGUGGUGUUGCUAACCCAAAAGGUAAAGAAGAUUGUAGAAGCAGCCCAGUAUAAUUCUCCACUCCAGUGUCCUUAAAGUGGGCUAUCAUUUAUGAAUGUACUCCUACAGAUGAAAGAGAAAUGGGAGGUCAGUGGUUCCUGUCUUCAACAAUCUUCUGCAAUCUUGUCAUAAUGAAUUGUAAAUAGUAUCACUAUCAUCCUCCUCUUCCUGCACUGGAAACCAGCACAAAUGGCUCUGCAGAGCCAAACACUGACAGUGCUGCUCCUCAGGACACAAAGCUGAAGGCUGCCCUCUGUCCUCUGCCUGCCCGGCUGUGUGUGGCUCUGCAGGGCUGGGCUCACCCUUUCUGCCUUGCCACAUCCCCCCACUCUCCCAUGGCUCUGGGGUAUGCUCACACCACGGACAUGCAGGGCUGAAAUCCUGAGCUGUUUAUCAUUUGAAGACAAUCUGAAGAUUGAUGAACAAUCAAUGGAAACGUCUUCCUCCCUCUCAGAGCAAUUCUCAGCACAAUCUGGCAAAAUGUCAUUAUCACCUAAUAUGGUUUUAUCAUGAGGUGUUCUUGCUUUCAGAACAGCAAAUGAUUUUUACAAGGUCAGGAGCAGAAUAUCAGGCCUGGGUGUUGGCCAUCUUGAACUGCAUAAUGAAGACACGUUCUUCAAAAGGCAGCAUUACCCUGGUGCACAGAGAAUACCUGACAAGCUUGGAUUUGAAGUGACCAGCCUAUGUGCAUCCUUUCCUUUUAAUUUUUACAGUAUCCAGUAGUCAGUGUAGAUACAAUGCAUUAUUAAUUAGCAUAUACAAAUCCUAUUUAUAUUAAAAAAGCUUGCUUAGUGAAGGAGACAUAAUUCCUGUUAUUACCAUUCCAAAUAGCAAAAAACAAAUAUUUUCUACAGAGUAAUAAAAACACAAGAUGAGAGCAACAAACUUGGAAUAUAUUUGUACUCUACACGCUUCUUUUUUAUGUGGGACUACUGUUUUUCAUGGUAAAUUAUACAUGCUGACAGAAUUUUUCUGAGUGUACCUAUGCUCCUGAAUGACAAUGUUCUGAAAGAGCAGUGCUGAAGAGACUUAUCAUAUGGAUGUAUAAUAUUAAUACUACACAGCUACUGUGUAUGCAAUAGACUUGUGACUUCUUAAAAUACAUGUGCAUGGAAGGGGUGCCAAAUCACUUCAGAGCUCCCUGGGCAAGCAUAAGUUGGUGCAGAAAACUCUACACCAUGAAUCCCUGAAACAGUUUGUAUAAAAUCAGCAACAUAUAUGUAGAGUCCAAUGAAUCUGGGGCAUCUCUCCACUACCACUAAAAACAGAUGUUGUAUAAACAUUAAAAAAAGUUGAGCAAACUUUGAGCUUUUCAUGUAUUGGAUUCUAUGGGAAUGCAAUGAAAAAGUCUUGUCAAUGCAGAAAAGACCAGAUCAAGCUGGCAAAUCAUCUCUCUGUGUCAUAAUUUAGCAAACAAGGAGAGCUAUUCCCUGGAAGGUGCCAGACAAUUAGAAGCCAAGUCACAGCAACAAAGCUGCUCCUACCCAGUGUGAACCCUUUGUCAAGGAAUGGAAACAAUUUACAGUGUUUUCAGAACUGUAGUUCAGGUCACUUCAUUUUUAUGCUCUCCCAUAUGGUUCUGCUCCUUCUAUUUCCAGAGUGAACCCUAUUUACCUGGACGGGUACAGCAGAAAAUAUAUUGUUUGCAGAGAAAGUGAGAGUCAUCAAUAAAGAAAACUUCUCAAGAUAGGUAUAUUGAGUAUGUGUAUUGGCUUGAUCUGACAAGGGAAGAAAAUGGCAAACAACUUGUUUUCUCCUUGAGAGGCAUCUGAGAGCAGGGAACCACUCAGGUGCUGCAUUGUGCCUUCCAGAGGCUCAGCAAUAAAAGUACAGUCUGGGUGGAGAGAGCAAAUAAAGUGGCUUCCAGCCACAUCUUUGUCUCUAUGAAUCUGAGCCUGGCAAAAGACCAAACAUCAUUUGCACCAGCUUUUCACUUCCCCCAGGCAUGUAAAGAGAAAAAAUCCAUUCAACCCUUCCAUGCAUAACUGUCAGCAUGGACCAUAUCAAGUGGUCAUACCUCUGCUGUCCCCCAACAUGAGAGCAGAAAGGACAUAUGCAAUUAACAGAAAACUCUCUAUGCCACAACACUCCUUAUCUGGAGGGUCUGGGCUUUCCUCACCACAAAUGAGGUGGUGAGCCACCUUUCACAGUGGCUUUCACCCACUGAACCACAGCAAAGCAAUUCUUCUCUUGUUCCUGAGCACAGACCACCCACCCGAAAUACUAUAGCUCUUACAGCCAUCCUUGGAAAAAUUCUUUCCAUAGUAAAGAUCCUGCACACAGUAUGAUUGCUCCAGGUCUACAUUAGAUUAACACAGAGCAUCCAAAAUGCUUAGGAAAUGGGAUGUUGUUUCCCUUAACAAAUGGUUCAGUAUGUUGUCCAUACUGAAGUGACACAUUAGGUUGGAGUUUUCAGCUUUUGGAAGGCAGCCAUGGAAGACAGAAACCAUAUGAUGCCAGAGUGGAUUUAUACUCGUUAACUUACAUGAGACUGGCACAAGCCUCCAAAUAUUAGCCCAUGAUUUUUGUAAAAAAAAAAAGAAGCAAGACUUUGGGGUGGUAGCAGAGCCUUCAUUGCUAGCAGCUGCAAUGGGCAAUAAUCUUAGACAGGGAACUACAGUAUUUAGUUAAAAAUGGAAAGGAAUAGUAGCUUAGCACCUCUUUCAGAAAAGGUGAAGUUAAAUGCAAAAGGAGAAUGUCUUCUCCAUGAAGCAGCACUGAAAAAUACUUUUACAUUCAUGUGACAUUGAGAAACAAAUGACAAAGAAUUUUCCAUUAAUAAUUUAAUUUGGGGGCCAAAGGGCCCUCAAUAACAUCAUAAGCAUGUA